AAUGGUGCAAAAUGUAAAAGCCAAUCUCCACGUGCUUUAUCAGACUUCGACUCGUAGUUCUGACUCUGGCCCUUUGCUUCGAAACAGUUACAUCCACAAUUCUGCAAUAAUAUUAUAGUACCAAUCCAAUAAUAAACCUCAGAAGCUCUUUUGAGGACUCUUUUUCACACUAUUACAAUCUAUGACUCUGUCCCAUUAAUCAAAAUGUCUUUUUUGGAGUUUUGGCUUCAUUAAUCCUUAAUCCCCGUUGAAUUUCGGUA
rnacentral:misc_RNA from 1 species